UUAGCCCGGAAGCAACACCCCCAAUAUUACAAACUUUUUAUUUUCUCCCCAAUGCAGGAGGGAGGAGUUGGAGAGGGAAAUGAGAACUAGAACCAUUUAUAAGCUGAGAAUCCCACUAAUCUUUCUGGAAAUCUCCAAGCAAGAGGAGCUGAAGGCAGCAAGACCGGGAGAGAAGGAAGGCUGUAUCCACUAGUAAGAAAAGAUGAAGGCCCUAAUCCUGAUUGCGGUUGUCUUGACCAUAACUACUUGCUUCUCUCCAGCUGAAGGACAUAAGAGGAGACACCAUAGAAAACACCAUGAUGACAUACACAAUCCAGGACCCGGCAAUCCUUUCAGAGGGCCAAGAGGACCACAGGGUCCCAGAGGACGACCCAGGCCUGGAGGGUGUCCUGGUCCAACCCCUCCAGUAGUUUUUUUUGGGCCACCAAGUCCACCUGCUGCACACGAAAGAGAUGGGGAAGGACCGUUCUUCCCACAAGAGAACUGUGUAAGGCUUUGUCUUAAUGGCCCUGCAAAUGGAGCUCCUGGGAGCCCUCCUGGAUCCUCUACAGCCCCUCCUCCUCCCGCUCCCAUCUCUACCAUUACAGCUGUCACCGGGGCUGAAAGCACUCCUGCUGCCAAUCCUGAAAGCACAGACAUCGUAACAACAGCAAUAUACACGGUUACUUAGUUCUGAAUUCACACGAGGAAAACGUCAAGGCAAGAAAUGAUCAUGCUAAUUAUAAAUACUGUGUGGAAAUCAGCUGACUAUUAAAAAUAAAUCAACGCUAUCUGACUUGAUGGGAAAUAAG
rnacentral:lncRNA from 1 species